UACGGGAGGCAGCAGUGAGGAAUAUUGGACAAUGGGCGAAAGCCUGAUCCAGCCAUGCCGCGUGCAGGAAGACGGCCCUACGGGUUGUAAACUGCUUUUAUACGGGAAGAAAAGGGGCACGUGUGCCCUGUUGACGGUACCGUAAGAAUAAGGACCGGCUAACUCCGUGCCAGCAGCCGCGGUAAUACGGAGGGUCCAAGCGUUAUCCGGAAUCAUUGGGUUUAAAGGGUCCGUAGGCGGGGCCAUUAAGUCAGGGGUGAAAGGCCACGGCUCAACCGUGGGACUGCCCUUGAUACUGAUGGUCUUGAGUUGUGUUGGAGUUGCCGGAAUAUGUAGUGUAGCGGUGAAAUGCAUAGAUAUUUACAUAGAACACCUAUCGCGAAGGCAGGUAACUAAGCACCAACUGACGCUGAUGGACGAAAGCGUGGGGAGCGAACGGGAUUAGAUACCCUGGUAG
rnacentral:rRNA from 1 species